AACUGCUGCUGUGUCUCCAUCACCUGUGACUGGGGAACAACCUGCUGUGAGGACAAGGGACUCUGCUCUUAGCUUUUUUUCGCUAAAAACCCUUUCUUGUGAUGUCUAAGUUCAUUUUAGGGCUUCCCUAACAAUUGCCAACACAAGAAAGCUUCUGGAUCUUGCCUUCUCCAGGAUUGCACUCCAUGAGGUUAUUACAACCUGAAGAUAAUCUCCAGCCUAAUGCUGUGCUAGCUGGGAACACCCCUCUGCUUCCUGCAGGUGUCCCGUGGCUCUGUCCUCAUUAGGAAGACAGAUUUAUCCUGCGUCCAAACUGAAAUCCACCCUUAAUCACAGCUCUUCUGGGCUGCUGCUCUCAGUGCCUCAAGGCUGUCUGGAAGACACAGAGGCACCUCUCUCCUCCUGACAGAUGCCCGGGGUUAGUGCUUUGCAUGUCCCUCAUUUGCUAAACAAAACAGCUCAGAGACCAGGAUUUUUUCCCCCUAACAAUAAAGGGAGGAAGGUGUGAAGGGGACUGGGGAAGUACAGGAUACAGAGCGAGCUCAAAGAGAGGCAAAAACAAUCAGCUCUUUCUUCAGCCACAAAGAUUAGUUGAGAUUUUGCUUUUUGCUAUCUGUUUCCUUGACUGACUGACCAGAAUGUUUGUGAUGCAAGGGGAGGUGGUGGGAAAGGGCUUGCACCAGAAUGAUCGGAACUGAGGAGGAUUUGCAUGUUUGCAGAGCAAGGCCAGGUGUGUUUGGUGACAGCCAUGGCCUAGUCCUGAUGGGUGCUGAGCAUCCUUAGGUACCCAUGGUGUAGAUUCAGCAGCUCCAAGGAUGAGGGCAGCCCUUUGCCUGCUCUUUGUAGCAGGUCUGCCUGUGGCUGGUGCUGUGCUGGGAGGGAAGAAGGGCAGUGGGGCUCAGCCUUGUUUUUCCUCGGGGCUGCUGGCAUCCAGAGGCCUCAAGCAAUGCCAGGGCUUGGGCAUUAGGUGAUCUUAAAGUGGCAACUCAUUACUCAAGAGGAAGAAUCUGUAGUCUCUUAGUGGAAAACACUGCAAGUUAAUUCCCCGUCCUCCUCCUCCUCCCUUUUGUCACCUCCUGUCUCGCUGGUGCCUUUGCCUGUGGCCCCCCUCCACAGGCAGUGCCUCUGGGAGUGGGUCAGCCUGGAUCCCCUGCACUGCUCUGUUCACAGAUGUGUUCUCCUGAGCUCUGCAGCAUGUCCUGCAGCCAUCCCACCAUGCUCCUCCACUCGCUGCCCAUCCAGCCAAAGCUGUCCCUGGAUCUCCUGGGAUGUGCUCCUCAGGCUCCUCACAAGCACCAGGCUAAGUGUUAACAACACCAGCUCUCUCCUGGCACUGCCUCCUCCAGGGCAGCUGCUCUUCAGCAAUAUCUGGGCUCAGUAACCCUCCCUGGAGUCCUGGGGAAAUAGCAGACAGGACUGGGGUGAUGUGUGCUGUGUUUGGAGGGAGAAGCCAUAGGAGCACACAGUAGAGAAGAUCCCAGUCGUCCAUUGAAGGUUAUAGCUCCUCUGUACCUUGAAAAUCAAGGACAGGAAUGAAAAUCUAAUGGAUAUAGCAGCUCUUCUUUAUGAGGCUCAGAAGAACCAGCUGUCUGGUUUGGUUUUAUGAGUGGUCACAGGCACUCUUUCCAAUUGAUGUGUGCCAGCACUUGGCUCCAAAUGGCCAAAAUUGGGAAGUUUUACAUACAUCAGACCCCUCUGCUGUCCCCAGGGAAGUCUGUGCUGGUUUGGGGCUGGAGGGUUUUGCUCCUGAGCAGUCCAGAUGCCUGACACCCUCUUUGAGUAUAUCUGUUUGCAGAUUACUGGGGAACAAGGGGAAUAACAAACACAGUUUGCAUUUUGGGCAGUAGUUUUAAUAAGCUGAAAUGACUUCACUUUGAGCAAGGCUUGUGCACGUGUGAUGUUCACAGGUGGCUGUGGGGCUGGGGACCACUCCCAUCACAGGUUAUGCACCUUCCCCAGAAUGGCUCAGGGAAGGACAGCAGGGAUUUGCUGGGGGCUUUGGCACUGCCUGUUGGACAUUCUGUGUGUCGACUCCUGCUCUGCAGAGCUGGCUCUGGCUCUGUGGGGCUCUGCACCAGUCUGCCUCCAGGAUUAAAGUCUCUCUAAUGGGAGCCCUUUCCUGCAUGUGAAUUUCCAUCUUUAUUCCCACUCAAAUUAUAAAGAGCAAUCCUAGACUCUUUUCUUUCUCCUUUUGCUCCCCAUCCCCAUUGCCUGUGUCCCCAGAGUCAGGUAUGAACUGUUCUUUAAAUAAGUGUUUUGAACAUGAAAUACACUGUGUUAGCCCAGUUACUAAGAAGGAACAGAUUUAUCAGAUAAAUCCCAGCAGGCCUGUGCAUGUCACUGUCUGGUAUAGUGCAAUAAAAAUAUACAUUAGAAUAAGUAUAAAUACAUAUUUACAGUGUACAAGUAAA